rnacentral:RNase_P_RNA from 1 species
UUCCUGAAGCUCAUCAACAAGGCCACACGCUGAAUGUUCUUCACUCCCGGGUCUCUGGGAGAGUCCGAGACUAGGGCCUCCCAAGGCUCUAACCAGAUUCUCCGCAAGUAGGGAGGUGAGUUCCCAGAGAGCAGGGCUCCAUGCUUGGGCAGACUGGGCAGAAGAGGCCCCAAGUGGGCUCAUGCCUCCCUCGCCAGAGCUUGGAACAGACUCAUGGCCAGUACAUUAUUCUUCUUACAAGAUUAUGCUUGAAAUGUUUAAAGUAUAUUCAUACUUAAAACUGCAACAUUUGAAAGGUAAUUCAAACUCACUUGAUGUUUUCUUUUACUAUUUUCAAAAGUAA